rnacentral:rRNA from 1 species
AUUGAACGCUGGCGGCAGGCCUAACACAUGCAAGUCGAACGAGUGGCGGAAGGGUGAGUAAUGUCUGGGAAAAUGCCUGAUGGAGGGGGCUAAAUACUGGAAAAGGUAGCUAAUACCGCAUACCAUCGGAUCUGCCGAGAUGGGAUUAGCUAGUGGGGGGGGUAACGGCUCACCUAGGCGACGAUCCCUAGCUGGGCUGAGAGGAUGACCAGCCACACUGGAACUGAGACACGGUCCAGACUCCUACGGGAGGCAGCAGUGGGGAAUAUUGCACAAUGGGCGCAAGCCUGAUGCAGCCAUGCCGCGUGUAUGAAGAAGGCCUUCGGGUUGUAAAGUACUGUCAGCGGGGAGGCGUUACCCGCAGAAGAAGCACCGGCUAACUCCGUGCCAGCAGCCGCGGUAAUUC